rnacentral:rRNA from 1 species
UGGGUAGUCCGCACGAGCGCACCUCGCUGUCAGUUGCCAGCAUUAAGUUGGGUACUCUGAUGGAACUGCCGGUGACAAGCCGGAGGAAGGUGGGGAUGACGUCAAGUCCUCAUGGCCCUUACGGGCUGGGCUACACACGUGCUACAAUGGCGGUGACAGUGGGUUGCGAACCUGCAAAGGUCAGCUAAUCCCUAAAAACCGUCUCAGUUCGGAUUGUACUCUGCAACUCGAGUGCAUGAAGUUGGAAUCGCUAGUAAUCGCGGAUCAGCGUGCCGCGGUGAAUACGUUCUCGGGCCUUGUACACACCGCCCGUCACACCAUGGGAGUUGGAUUUACCUUAAGCCGGUGCGCUAACUUUUGAGGUGCCCGACCACGGUAAGUUCAGCGACUGGGGUGAAGUCGUAACAAGGUAGCCGUAGGGGAACCUGCGGCUGGAUCACCUCCUUUC